AGAACCAGUGGUUUCCAGCGUUCUUUGACAACGAACAAAAUUACCUUCUCUUAAAGAUUUAAACACUCUCCCUGUCAUUGCUGUGAGAUCCUGUCCUUUGGCCCUGGUUACAAAGAAGUCGUGCUCUGUUCUGAGGGCUGAAAACACUCAGUGUGCUGAUACAAGAGAGGUGACCAGUCAGUAAACUUAAAGUGCUGGAUUGUGGCCUGUUAAAAUCCUUGUGCAAGAAGCAGAUGAACCAUGUUGCAGUUUCCACCACUGAAGUGCUGUGGGAGUUGUGUUUCUCCCUCCAUCUGAUAAAAAAACCUGAUGCAGAGGCAGGUGAGGCAGAACCUGCCAUUUCACCGUUUCAGCUACAGGGGCCACCUGGUUACACCUAGGCCACACAGACUGUUGUUUUGGGUUUUUUUCCCUGAGUUCCUGAUGUAAAAACUGGAAUCUCUGGAGAGCCAUGACCUGAAUGCUGGAGCUCAGCAGGUAGGAGCAGAGUCUGGGAGAUGCCACUGUGCUGGGAGCACUCGGAGAUCUGGGAGAAUCUGGAUUCUGACGGAUGGGGGGUGGCAGGGGUGGCACCUGCAGAGGUAACUGUGACUUCCUGACUCUUGGAAUGAGCUUCCCAAGGCCGAGGGAUGCCUCAAGCAGAGCAGGGAGGCUCUGCAAUGGAACAUAGGCCAGAAACUCUUCCAGCCGGGCACCCCCGAAGC